UACGUAGGGGGCAAGCGUUGUCCGGAUUCAUUGGGCGUAAAGAGCGUGUAGGCGGCCAGAUAGGUCAGCUGUGAAAACUCGGGGCUCAACCCCGAGACGUCGGUUGAAACCAUCUGGCUAGAGUCCGGAAGAGGAGUGUGGAAUUUCCAGUGCAGGAGUGGAAUCCGUAGAUAUUGGAAGGAACACCGAUGGCGUAGGCAGUCUACUGGCAUGUUUCUGACACUGAGGCACGAAAGCGUGGGGAGCGAACCGG
rnacentral:rRNA from 1 species